rnacentral:rRNA from 1 species
UUGAACGCUGGCGGCAUGCUCUACACAUGCAAGUCGCACGGUAACAGGCCGCAAGGUGCUGACGAGUGGCGAACGGGUGAGUAAUGCAUCGGAACGUGCCCAGUCGUGGGGGAUAACUACUCGAAAGAGUAGCUAAUACCGCAUACGAUCUAUGGAUGAAAGCGGGGGACCGUAAGGCCUCGCGCGAUUGGAGCGGCCGAUGUCAGAUUAGGUAGUUGGUGGGGUAAAGGCUCACCAAGCCAACGAUCUGUAGCUGGUCUGAGAGGACGACCAGCCACACUGGGACUGAGACACGGCCCAGACUCCUACGGGAGGCAGCAGUGGGGAAUUUUGGACAAAGGGCGCAAGCCUGAUCCAGCAAUGCCGCGUGCAGGAAGAAGGCCUUCGGGUUGUAAACUGCUUUUGUACGGAACGAAACGGCUCUGGUUAAUACCCGGGGCUAAUGACGGUACCGUAAGAAUAAGCACCGGCUAACUACGUG